GACAGAGGUGCCGAGCGUUAGGCGGAAUCACUGGGCUUAAAGCGUGUGUAGGCGGACUUCUAAGUACCUUGUGAAAUCCCACGGCUCAACCGUGGAACUGCUUGGUAUACUGGUUGUCUUGAGCCACUUAGGGGCAGUCGGAACAGACGGUGGAGCGGUGAAAUGCGUAGAUAUCAUUUGGAACGCCAAUGGUGAAAACAGCUCGCUGGGGGUUUGCUGACGCUGAGACACGAAGGCCAGGGGAGCAAACGGG
rnacentral:rRNA from 1 species